UUUCAGUCAUAGGUUUCUACUCAAAAGUGUGCUGCAGCUCCCCAUCUCCAACAGCCAGAAGACCAGAUUUGUUACUGGAAUGUUAAGGAGUCACAGCUGGUGGUCCUGUCAGUCAUAGCAACACAGCCAAAGACUAGAUUGAGAGACAAGAGGGAGAGAAUGAAGCAGCAGAGGGGAUCUUGCUCGGCUGACCCCUGAGUCUGGUGCUCAGUUGGAAAAGUCAUCCCCAUCGGUAAGAAUGUCCAAAGCAAAGCAGCUUGCUGGAAUCAAGACAGAAUCACCUGUUCCAUGGGUUAAUCAAUGGAAAGGAGUGACAGCUUGUGUACCGCCAACAGUUCAGUUCUGCCAGAUGGAGUAGGAAGAAAAUAACAUACAUAAUUAAAAUCAAUGAAGUUGUAUCAACCCCAAACACUGGGGGGGGAAAAAA
rnacentral:lncRNA from 1 species